GCUCCUGGGUACAAUUUUUGUGGGGUGGGGUGAUGAAAAUGAUUCAAAAUUAGAUUAUGGUGAUGGUUGGUCAACUCUGAAAAUACACUAAAAACCGUUGAAUUAUACACUUUAAAAACUAAAUGGCCUGGACAAGAUGAUUUGUUUGGAUCUUGCCCGAUUUAACAUUUUCUGGACGAGAAGCACAUCUUGGAAUGGAGCCAGGCCCUACUGGAAAAGAAUGACCCUGCCCAUGUAAGUGCACCAAGAAGGGAGAAGAGGUGGAUAACUUCGCCUGUGCACGGUGACAGGAUCCCAUCCCUGGACCAUAAACAUGAGCUAAUUCACAAGUUAUCUGCUGCAUAUGCAAAUUGGUGGUCACAUGCUCAAUAACCACUAAUGCUUGAUAGGAUACUUGCCACAUGCCUGGUCCUAAGCGCUUUCCAUGGAUCUCAUUUAAUCCUCACAACAGCCCUAUUAAGCUUCAGAUGAGAAACUGAGGAUCGGAGGGUUACAAACACAGGAAGUUGAGGGACCAGAAGCAAAUACAGUUUGACCAGUGGCCCAAGGCCUGUGGUCCUAACCUCUCUCCAUCCUGCCCAGCUUUCUCUCUACAUCCCCCUGGGUGUAAGGAAAACGUGUGCUUCAUCAGCAGUGAGCAAAUAAUUGAGUUUAAAAUAACCUUAUCAUUUCUUGCUACAGUUCUUAAAAGCAGGGGUUAUGAUCAUUUCAUUUUUUAAAAGCCCUGAAUUCAGCUUUCUCGCUGCUCUGGCAGGUACUGCUGUUUGCUUUGCAAGACACACACUCCUGGCUUCCCAAGGCUAGAUGUGCACCGCUUAUCUAAACCAGGCUGACUGUUCUCUCUUCUUUUUCCUUUGCAAAUGUCUGUAAUCCAGCAGCUUCCUGGCAGGCUCCAGGAGCUCCGGAUUGCUCUACACCUGGGAAGUUUGCUACGGAAGGCUUAAAGGAGCCAGAUUUUGAAGCGCCUGCUAUUUGUUUUUCCUCUCACCUCCAGCCAUAACGCUUUAUUUGCACCCUAAUGAUUGUACCACCGCCAGCGAUUCCUCCAUCAUAAACAAGAAAAUGAGUGGGAAUGAGGAGAGCAGUAGGAGAUGUGAGUUGUGCUGCCGGCCUUUGCCCCAGCUAUCCUGACAUCAGAGCCUGGGCUGCAGGGCACUUGCCUCUAGCCCGACUCUCCCUGCUCACACAGGUGGCCCAGCUCUCAUGCUGCUAUCAAGCGGGGCCCAGGCCAAAGUUCAAACCCAACAGAGGCUGCACAGAAAGACCUGAAUGUCUGCUUAUAACUGAGAAACACCUCUCAGUCCAGCUUUGGAGCUUGCCAUGGAUAUAUGGAAGGCUGGUGCCCAGGUCUCGGAAAGAACUGCCAGGCUCCAUACAAGCAUUUAGGCCUCCACCACGUGGACAGCCCCACAGCAAGGAAGCCUGAAGAGUAAGUAGAGCCUGACUGGGCACAGAGCCAGAUCCAAGGACAAAUCUACUGUCUCCAGUCCCUGCAAGGAGGGCCAAGAAAGCAGCAAUAAACUUAAGGGGAUGGCGAUCAUUCUAUUUUCCAGGACUCCAUGGAGACUGAGAAUUUCCCCGCAAGGUCACAGAGCGAGGAGGUGGUGUAGUCUGUCUGCAGAGCCCACAUUCUUAACACAGAACAACACUGCAGUGGAACCCGGCAGUAGCAGACAAGUGGGACAAAAAUACUGCAUGGCUUCUUGACUGUCUUACCAAUGUCACCUGAAACCCACACUGAGCACCCCGCACCCACCAUCUAUAGAAGUUUCAGAUGUUUAUGGCUCCCAUAGCAAAAUCAUCUGAACACAGAUCCAGACUGUGGACCGGAGUCAGCGCAGACCGUGGCUCAAAUUCUGGCUCUGCCCUCUGACCUCAGGCAAGUUUCCUCGCCUUUCUGUCAAAUUGGCCAGGCAGCUGUUUCUCACCUGCUGCCCUGAGGACGAGAGGAAGCUGGCGCCGCAAGCGACAGGCUAACACCGGAGCCAGGGCUUGUAAAACGCCGUUUCCUCUCCGUUUCUCUCCUCCUCUAGUGUGGAGGAGGGCAGCAUCUUGAAGGCAAAAGGCUGCCCUCCAAGCCCUCUCCUGCCUGGGUUCCAGUCUGCCCCCUGUGUCUUGGCACAAACACUGGCGUCAGGGCUGCCACGGGAUGGCCUCCUUUUCAGUAGACUCCCCUUCCCCUGCCCCCCCAUUCUGCUGGGUGGACAGGGGGGUUCAAAAAUAGCUAUUUAUUUGCUUAACUGCGGGGCGGGGGGAGCAGAGUGAUCAAGGGCAAAAUCAAUUACUAUUUUUCAUCUUUGACAAAGUAAUUAAGGCCAUAGCGACUGGCUGAUUCCGACCGAAUGGCCGCUCAGUGACGGAGGCGGAUUUACGGCCUGCUCGGCGGCGGCGCUCAGAGGCCGAUAUCACUCCAAACAGGCGGCGGCGCAGGGCGUGGGUGGAGGCCCGCAACCGCAGGACUUGAGCCUUUUCUUCUUGUUUUUCUAAAUACUGCGGCUCACUCCUCGGCGCUUCCCGAGCGCUGACACCCAACGGGGCGCAAGGCCGCCCCUGGCCUCCUGCCCCCGCACGCUCUCUCUUGCCUUCGCCCCCUACCCGGCUGCCAGGCUGGUGCCCGCCACUCCGCAUCCGCGUUGGCUUCAGAACAACCCCUCUAGGUCUCCCCGCUCCGCACUCUCCCUCCCCUCUCCACGCGGCCCCUCCUCUACAGAACCUUUCGACUGGAAGGGGGGGAAGGUGGGAAGCCAAAGCAGUGCCUCUGCCAACCGCCUGCAGCCUGCGCGUCAACCGCCUUUGAAGGACCUGACGCACGUCGGGCCCCAGGAGGGAACCGACUACGCACUUGGCGAGGGAGGGCCUGCGUGAGAAACGUCAGACCCGGGGGACUGACCCGGGGCGCGGGGCGGCGAGGACAGCAGUACUCCACCGCCUCUGCGCACUCCUUCUCGCUCCAGCUCGGGCAGGGAGGUCAGUGCGCCCCGGAGCAUCGGUGCGCUGGCUGGACGCUCCGCUGGCGCCGGGCACUUGGUGUGGGCGGCUCAAAUGCAAAUUGCGAAAACUGACUUUCGAAGUCGGGACUCCCUCUUGGAAGUGGGCCCAGGGCCCGCCGAGGGAGGCCUACUCUGACCUAGGGGCGCGCUUCCUGGCGCGGAAGUCGGGGGGCUGCCAGGCCUGCCCUUUACAGUUCUCGCAUCCUGGUUUGGCUCCUUGGAAACUGGGGACUGUUUCCGAAGAAGCGCCCAGCAGAGCCCCUCGGCUUUCCCCGUGGCUGCCAGAGUCCAGGGUGUUUUCGAGCGCCCACCAGGGCCGAAGCAAGCGCCCCUGUGGGAUUCCUGGCCCCGCCUUCUCUCCUGACCUCCCCCAGCGAGAGCCCACCACAGUCCCACCCCAUCUCCCUUCCUCCCCGCUCCCGACCUCGCUGGGUUUGCCUUAGAGCGGUCCUCUAGGGAGGGCGUGAUCGGCCCCCAGACGGCCCUGUGGGAGGCUUUGGGAGAUUCUGCAGGGCUCGAACGCGACUUUCUGAGCCUCAGUUUCUCCAGCUUUCAAACUGGGAGUUUCUCAAAGGUUGUUGUUAAGGCUAGAUGGGGUAAUUCAUGGAAAGCCCUUCCACGAUUGUUCGAUAUUGAGAGCUUAAUAAAUAUUAAAGCGACAAUACAAAGCGGCCUG